UACGUAGGCAGCGAGCGUUGUUCGGAAUUACUGGGCGUAAAGAGUGUGUAGGCGGUGCUCUAAGUUCGGUGUGAAAUCUCCUGGCUUAACUGGGAGGGUGCGCCGGAAACUGGGGUGCUCGAGCGUGGGAGAGGAAAGCGGAAUUCCUGGUGUAGCGGUGAAAUGCGCAGAUAUCAGGAAGAACACCCGUGGCGAAGGCGGCUCUCUGGUACGUGACUGACGCUGAGACGCGAAAGCGUGGGGAGCGAACAGG
rnacentral:rRNA from 1 species